AGUUGUAUUGAGUGAUUUUUUAACAUAAGAUACAAUAGUUGAAAAUGCUUGGAGUGAUAAAAUGUCAAAUUUAUAGAGAAAGAAGGAAAUUGUAUUGAUUGAAUGAAAAACAGAAUUAAAAAAAAAGAAAAGAAGAGAAACU